CGCACAAAGCUUUUAUCUCCCUCAGUGCACGUUCCUUCAAACCGUUAACUGUGCGACCAGGUGAUUCCUGGGUCUUUCUCACCCGUCACUACCAUUUUUCACUGCUCACUGCUUCCCAGCCUGAGGCACAAGCUGAAUGGGCACUGGGUAAAGCUCCACGGUGAGCCCCUGCCCCUGACAGAGAGACUUUGGUUGGUAUAGUGGAUAAUGCUGAUUUAAGACUGAUGGCAUCUAAAACAGUUUGUCUCUAUGGCCUUCAGGGCUGUUUGGGCUCCUGGAAGGCUGACACCUGCCAGCUUGACUGACUGGGCAGUGUGGGUAAAGAGGUUAUUUCCCACUCCCAGCAAGCUGGGGCCAGGCCUGAAGACACCUGUUCAGUCUGAAAUAAGUCCAGGAAAUUGCACAAAUUUGAUGGUGUACUUUGGUGACGUGGUCCUGCAAGCAGCGUGUACUUUGGUGCCUGUAGAAAGCCUCCAGUGAUGGGUCUGAAGUCCUCUACAUGCAGCAGGACUAUGGGUGAAGAAAGCUGAACAUAUAUGCUGUGUGGAUUCUAUAGAUCCAGACUUAAAAAGAUGGUAUUUUUCUCUUUUUGACACCCCACGUGCUCUGUCCUUACUAUUGUUACAUACCUGUUACACCAAGCAAAAUACACAGGUCAGAGUGAUGGCAAUGAGAUUAUCACUGAGCAGCAGUUGUCUCCACUUCAGGAAUCACAAGGAAUUAUUGAUUCUCUGCAGCUGAAGUACAAAUUGAGAAAAGAACCAGGCCCUUUCCACCACCGAACAGAGCAACAUAAAAACAGCACUACCACUGGUGCAUUAUCUAAUUAAAAAUUUCUAGAACAAUGUUAGAGCUCCUGGGGACAAAAAAAAAAAAAAAAAAAAAAAAAAGCAGUGUCAGCAGUGUAGCACUGGGGAACUGUCGGUCAUAAGAUAAGCUUAGAAACCCUUAAGGGAGGAAAACAUGACUCAGAAGCAUUAAAAUAUGUGAAAAAUAGUUAAAACAAAUUAAAUUCCAGAGGCAGUGAAUUACAUUUCAGAAGUUCCCUUAAUAACUUUGUAACUUCAUUUUCAGCAAAAGUAAAAACUCUCAAAAGUUGUCUGGUUAGUCCUGCUCCACCUCUGAGGCCUGUCAAAGCCAGCUUCUAUGUAAGGUUCACAUAUUAACAUGGGUGAUAACUUUCACCAAAUAACAUGACGACAUUUGAAUGUGCAGUGUUUAUAAACAGCAAUGCUGAAGUUUUAAAUGGCUAUCUGUUAGUUAAACAAGACUGUCUUCUGUUUGAAAAGCCAGAACUAAUCUUCAUUCAGCAAUGCUCCAUAAUGAUGUGAACAAGUUUAUUUUUUCUGUCAGAUAGCUAGAAAUAGAACUUCUUCUUCUGUAUCCUUAACAGCUUUCUUUAAACUGAUGUAUUUGUUUGACAGAUACAUGUUCAUAUAAUAAACCACUUUAUAAGCCAUGAUGCAGAUUUAGUUAACAAAAGCCUAAAAUCCGUGUCAGAAGCAUACUUGAGCCUAGAUGGUCUGUCUGGUUGUUCUGGUAAACGCACAUCAGCUCUGAAAAUGGCAUUAUAAAAUGGUUGCUUCUGACUCAACCAGAAAACCUAAAGCUUUAUGAACAUAGGAAGACUUCUCUCCUAAGUGCCUUGGGAUGCUUGUGCAACUAUGAGUAAAUGAAAUUAAAUCAAAGCAUUAUGGAACUUACAAAAAUGUAAGGAAGCCUUAUGCACCUGUUCAGUUUCUGCAUGAUUCAGUGAUUGCUGGAAACUUCAAGAAGCUCAAGAACAAAAUACACGGAGGGGAUGGAAGCUGAAGGCUUACUACCUUCCAGGAAACAGACAGCAUUUCUCAUAUCAAGAACAGCGUUUCUGGUUUUUAGAAGUCCUACACAGAAAUCCUUUCUAUUCUUUUCAUUUUGACAGUCCUCUCAGAUUGGCUUUAGUUAUUAUUCUUAAAAUAACAUAGUUCUCUUGCGUAAGCCACAGGCCAUAAAAACCAGCUACCUAUGUUGUUCAUCUACAAGAAGAAAACAUUGUGAUAUAAGUUAUAAGGCUUUUGGAAGUGAGAAAUUCCUUUUUAAAUCUUUUACUGCUUCUUUUUGUCCCCUAGAGUAAAAAUAUCAUCUUGAAGCUGCUGCUUCAAAACUGAAAAUACCUCUCUGUGUUGGGACAUGAGGACACUAACAGACCUUAAUGGUUCUGACCACCUCCACCUGGGGCCUUCUCUCACACCCUCCCAUGGGCCUGGGAGCCCUGUUUUGACUUAGAAUGGGGUUUUCAGUCCUUUUCUGAGCUAUGCUCUGGGAGUGUGUACCUCUAGUUCCACCGGAGUUCUGCCUGUGGGCCUUUCUAAUUUGCAACUGCAGUCCUGCUUCCACCAUGGACCUGCUAAGGAAUUAAUGUUCUGCAUCUGUCUCUGGCUGCCAUUGUGGUGCCUGAUCCUGACUCACAUUUCUGACUUUACCUCACUCCGUGGAUUUAUGUAAUGAUCCAAACUAUUGACUGAACCUGGCUUCUAACAAGAGCUGCCCUGCUCACUUUGCUCAGUGGUGGUGGGGCUCUCCAGUUUUCAGCUCCAUGCCACGUGCAGUGUGGCCAACCCUCACUGCUCUGAGAUCUUGCCUUCCUUCAAAUAACAAGGACUUUGCUAAACUUGAGAUGCUUGGAGAUGAAUUUAUGAUAUUCUUAUAAAGAGAAGAUUUUUUUACUUUGCUGAAAAUUGAAUAUUACUAUCAGAAAGCUGGAGAUUGAAAGAGACUAAUUAUGCUUUAGUAAGUUUUGUCUCCAAGCAAAAAGAGAAGCCUAUAAAAGAUGGUCUGCUGUUUGAAGAGGAAGCUGUGAAUAAGAAUAGCACAAGAAGAUAAACAGCUACUUCAAAACAAAUUUUUCCAGCUCUCUUCCAAAUACAAAACGUUAUUGCUAUGUGCUGUGCUGCAAUUGAAAGCAACUUGGUUGUGACAGGGUCACGGGUUUUUAAUAACCUGAGCUGCAGCAAGAGAAGGGUACCAGGAAGGAUCCAUCCAUCCCCUCUCAUCCAUGAUGCCAGCCCUCAGGAACAAAAAGAUUUAUUUCUUCACACCUGAUGUGUGUUUACUCCAAUUCUACCUCACUGAGGCAGAAAUCAUCCAACACCAGCUGGAAUACAACUCACUGCUGAACUGGGAAGUGGCUCUGAAAUGACCAGGGAGUUUAGGACAGGAAAUGAACGAUGCUAUUAUGCCCAAUUUCAACUUCACAGCAAUUUUGGGAGGCAGAAUGUCAAUAUCUAGUCCACAGCUGGGCCCUUGGGCUGUCAAGCCUGAAGCUGAAAGCACCCUGAGUCCUACCAUCUGUUAUGGCCCAGCAGCAGCACUCAGUGCCACGGUAUCUGAGCAUCUAAUGGCUACAAGGUGUAAGGAUCUCCGUUGUACUUCUCAUCCAGAACCCAGUUCUUCCCUUAGCACUGUGCUGAAGCAUUGCUUCAUUACAGAGGGUAGAGUGCCAUCUACUGAAUCAGGUUGAUGUGUUUCUGUAACUUCCACAGAAAUGUGAAAUGCUCUCGUACCUUUAUCGAUUUGUCCUCGUGCUCUCUGCUGACUACUCCACUCCCUCAGCUCAGACCAAGUCUUGCCGUGUGUUCUGGCUGGAGCUGAACACUGGUGAUAAGUGAUGGGCAGUAACAGCAUCAGCACUACGUUACAGUCACGUGAGCAAUUUCAAAAUCCCAUUAUUCCAACCUCUUACCUGUAUGGUU